UGACAUGGCGGAGGACGCCUCCUCAGCUGCUCGGAGUCCCCGGGGCUGUGCGGAUGGUAGGGAUGCCGACGCUACCGAGGAGCGGAUAGCAGAAACGGAGAGAAACGACGAGGAGCAGUUCGAGUGCCAGGAACUGCUCGAGUGCCAGGUGCAGUUGGGGGCUCCAGAGGAGGAGGAGGAUGCUGGCCUUGUGGCUGAGGCCGAGGCUGUGGUUGCCGGCUGGAUGCUCGAUUUCCUCUGCCUCUCUCUUUGCCGAGCUUUCCGCGACGGCCGCUCCGAGGACUUUCGCCAGACCCGCGACAGCGCCGAGGAUGCACAGUUUGAAAAUGAUGAACGAAUUACACCCUUGGAAUCAGCCCUGAUGAUUUGGGGUUCGAUUGAAAAGGAACAUGACAAACUUCACGAAGAAAUACAGAAUUUAAUGGAAGUUCAGGCUAUAGCUGUUUGUAUGGAAAACGGGAACUUUAAGGAAGCAGAAGAAGUCUUUGAAAGAAUAUUUGGUGAUCCAAAUUCUUACGCGCCUUUAAAAAGGAAAUUGCUUAUGAUAAUCUCUCAGAAAGAUACAUACCAUUCUGUUUUUCAACACUUCAGUUACAACCACAUGAUGGAGAAAAUUAAGAGUUAUGUGAAUUAUGUGCUAAGUGAAAAAUCAUCAACCUUUCUAAUGAAGGCAGCAGCAAAAGUAGUAGAAAGUAAAAGAGCAAGAACAAUAACUUCUCAAGAUAAACCUAAUGGUAAUGAUGUUGAAAUGGAAACUGAAGCUAAUUUGGAUACAAGAAAAAGUGUUAGUGACAAACAGUCUGCAGUAACUGAAUCCUCAGAGGGUACAGUAUCCUUAUUGAGGUCUCACAAGAAUCUUUUCUUAUCUAAGUUGAAGCAUGGAACCCAGCAACAAGACCUUAGUAAAGAAAGAAGAGUAGGAACUCUUCAAAGUGCAAAAAAGAAAAAAGAAAGUAGAAGAGCCACUGAAAGUAGAAUACCUGUUUCAGAAAGUCAACCGGUGACUCCUGAAAAACAUCGAGCUAGAAAAAGACAGGCAUGGCUUUGCGAAGAAGACAAGAAUUUGAGAUCUGGCGUGAGGAAAUUUGGAGAGGGAAACUGGUCUAAAAUACUGUUGCAUUAUAAAUUCAACAACCGGACAAGUGUCAUGUUAAAAGACAGAUGGAGGACCAUGAAGAAACUAAAACUCAUUUGCUCAGACAGUGAAGACUGAUUGCGUUUCUAAAAGCUUGAUGAAAGGACAGUUAAGUACAUGUAGAUCACUACAUUUUGUUUGAAACUUGCAUCAUUGAUGUAUUUUAAAACUUUUGUUUAAAGCAUUACAGUAUUUUUCUGUGACCAUCGAUAUAAGGGUUUGUGCUCUAAGAAUUAAAGUAUAUGCUAUCAUUGUGUUCUUUAAGAACCUUUUGAUAAACUGUAAAUUUGUUGAACCCUGCCACAUUUAGUAUCCCCACCUCCAAAUCCUACUCCAGUGAAAAAAUUAAAAGCUGAUCUGAAAAAAAUAUUUUAAUUAACCUAUUUUGUGUCUGUAGGCUGACCUCAACCCUGUAACGUAACCCAUUAAAAUGAAUUUUUUAGAUAAUUGAAUAACAAUAGUCCUUUGAUAUGAGAUAGUGACUUGGUUUAUGGCCUUAAUAUACUGCUUAAUUACUUAAGACAUUCAUUAAUAGAAUGAUAAAUGUACAAAGUAACCUAUAAGUAU